GAGAACAAUUCUCAGACUGGAUGUUGAACAUCAGCUAGUUUCUCCUGUUGAUUUAAACCUUGUUGUAGAGAUGGAACAUUGGCUGGGGAUUAUUCUUGCUGCUCUUUUCUUUGAGUGUAAAGGAGAAGACAGAGUGAUCCAGCCA